AUUGACCGCUGGCGGCAGGCCUAACACAUGCAAGUCGAGCGAGCGGCGGACGGGUGAGUAAUGUAUGGGGAUCUGCCCGAUAGAGGGGGAUAACUACUGGAAACGGUGGCUAAUACCGCAUACUAUCGGAUGAACCCAUAUGGGAUUAGCUAGUUGGUGGGGUAAAGGCUCACCAAGGCGACGAUCGCUAGCUGGUCUGAGAGGAUGAUCAGCCACACUGGGACUGAGACACGGCCCAGACUCCUACGGGAGGAAGCAGUGGGGAAUAUUGGACAAGGGGCGCAAGCCUGAUGCAGCCAGGCCGCGUGUAUGAAGAAGGCCUUCGGGUUGUAAAGUACUUGCAGCGGGGAGGCGUUACCCGCAGAAGAAGCACCGGCUAACUCCGUGCCAGCAGCCGCGGUAAUAC
rnacentral:rRNA from 1 species